GUACUCGCUUCUGCAGCACAUAUACUGAAAUUGGAAUGAUAUAGAGAAAAUCAGCAUGGACCCUGUGCAAGGAUGACAUGCAAAUUCAUGAAGCAUUCCUUAUUUUU
rnacentral:snRNA from 1 species